AAGUCGUAACAAGGUUUCCGUAGGUGAACCUGCGGAAGGAUCAUUACAUUCAGUAGCCUCGCUACUUGUUUAUACCCUUGUUUUUUGCGUACUAUUGUUUCCUCGGCGGGCUUGCCUGCCGGUUGGACAAAACUAUCACCUUUUUAAAUCUUCAAUCAGCGUCUGAAUUAUACAUAAUAAUUACAACUUUCAACAACGGAUCUCUUGGUUCUG
rnacentral:misc_RNA from 1 species